AUUGAACGCUGGCGGCGGGCCUAAUACAUGCAAGUCGAGCGAAGCGGGGACGGGUGAGUAACACGUGGAUAACCUCAUAUAAGACUGGGAUAACUUCGGGAAACCAGAGCUAAACCAGAUACUUAUAGAUGAAGACGCGGUGCAUUAGCUAGUUGGUAAGGUAACGGCUUACCAAGGCAACGAUGCAUAGCCGACUUGAGAGGUGGAUCGGCAACACUGGAACUGAGACACGUUCCAGUCUCCUACGGGAGGCAGCAGUAGGGAAUCUUCCACAAUGGGCGAAAGCCUGACGGAGCAACGCCGCGUGUGUGAUGAAGGUCUUCGGAUCGUAAAACUCUGUUAUUAGGGAAGCGGUACCUACUCAGGAAGCCACGGCUAACUACGUGCCAGCAGCCGCGGUAAUAC
rnacentral:rRNA from 1 species